GGUUUUAUGGUGUAACGGUUAGCACUCCAGACUCUGAAUCUGGCGAUAAAACCU
rfam:Perkinsus marinus ATCC 50983 gcontig_1104296719922, whole genome shotgun sequence.